GAGGUUGUCAGGUGUUCACUUCAUAUACUAAAAUUGGAACAAUAGAAGAUUAGCAUGGCCCUUGUGCAAGGAUGACACGUAAAUGUGUAGUGUUCCAUACUUUU
rnacentral:snRNA from 1 species